UACGUAGGGUGCGAGCGUUAAUCGGAAUUACUGGGCGUAAAGCGUGCGUAGGCGGUUCGCAAAGUCUGAUGUGAAAGCCCCGGGCUCAACCUGGAAACUGCAUUGGAAACUAACGGGCUCGAGUGUGGCAGAGGGGGGUGGAAUUCCACGUGUAGCAGUGAAAUGCGUAGAGAUGUGGAGGAACACCGAUGGCGAAGGCAGCCCCCUGGGCUAACACUGACGCUCAGGCACGAAAGCGUGGGGAGCAAACAGG
rnacentral:rRNA from 1 species